GGGUCGGUAGCUCAAUCGGCAGAGCAGGAGCCUUUUAAGCUCAAGGUCGUGGGUUCGAU
rnacentral:tRNA from 1 species